AGUGAACGCUGGCGGCGUGCCUAAUACAUGCAAGUCGAACGAAGUGGCGCACGGGUGAGUAAUAUAUAGUUCAUCUUCCCUAAACAGCGGAACAACAGUUGGAAACGGCUGCUAAUACCUCAUAGUGUAGGAUUAGACUAUAUCGUAUCAGCUCGUUGGUAAGGUAAUGGCUUACCAAGGCUAUGACGCGUAACUGGUCUGAGAGGAUGAUCAGUCACAUUGGAACGGAGACACGGUCCAAACUCCUACGGGAGGAAGCAGUAAGGAAUAUGGCGCAAUGGGGGAAACACUGACGCAGCAACGCCGCGUGGAGGAUGACACUUUUCGGAGCGUAAACUCCUUUUAGCAGGAAAGCGGUACCUGAUGAAGAAGCACCGGCUAACUCCGUGCCAGCAGCCGCGGUAAUUC
rnacentral:rRNA from 1 species